rnacentral:rRNA from 1 species
UACGUAGGGAGCAAGCGUUGUCCGGAAUCAUUGGGCGUAAAGCGCGCGUAGGUGGCUUCGUAAGUCCGUUGUGAAAGUCAAAGGCUCAACCUUUGAAAGCCGAUGGAUACUGUGAAGCUAGAGUACGGAAGAGGCGAGUGGAAUUCCUGGUGUAGCGGUGGAAUGCGCAGAUAUCAGGAGGAACACCAAUAGCGAAGGCAGCUCGCUGGGACGUUACUGACACUGAGACGCGAAAGCGUGGGGAGCGAACAGG